UACGGGGGGGGGCAAGCGUUGUUCGGAAUUACUGGGCGUAAAGGGCGCGUAGGUGGCCAACUAAGUCAGACGUGAAAUCCCUCGGCUUAACCGGGGAACUGCGUCUGAUACUGGAUGGCUUGAGUUUGGGAGAGGGACGCGGAAUUCCAGGUGUAGCGGUGAAAUGCGUAGAUAUCUGGAGGAACACCGGUGGCGAAGGCGGCGUCCUGGGCCGAUACUGACGCUGAGGAGCGAAAGCGUGGGGAGCGAACAGG
rnacentral:rRNA from 1 species